ensembl:lncRNA
CGGCACUGUGACUCCUCCCGAACUCUGAAAUGCAAAGAUGUUCCAUGGACCGCGGCAUCGCCUUUCCUCCCAGGUCCUUCGUACGUUGCCAGCAGGCCCUCGUGGAAUCAGCACCAUUUGGAAAAUGAGAUGAAAGCUGUUUUAUUCCUCUUGCACAGUAAGGAAUGAGAAAUCCUCUUGCCCCAGUUGGUGUUUCGAUAUAAACUGCAUCGACGGUGGAGCCUCCAUUAUCCAGAUGAUUUUGCAGAAACAAAUGGCCAUGGGCUGUGCAGCCCCUUUGUCACCCACUGCAGAUCUACCACCUCCGAUGGGUUCAUAACAGCAGAGCUGAGGGAGAGGAGUGAGGACAAACGCCGGCACUUGUUUGCAUUGCUGCAGAAUACAAAAGGACCAGAACUGCAUGUUGCAGCCGCUGCAGGAAAUGUCAGCCAGAGCUUGGGCUACAACAGCUGAGUACCAGGUUUUGCUGACCACCAAAAUCUAAUAUCAGGUCCUUGGAAACAAACCACUCCUGUGGAGCAAGGCGAGCGAUGGCAAAGGAAGCACAUUCCUCACAAACUCAAACAGAUGAUCUCCAAAAGACAAAAAGAUCCACACCAAGUAACAAAGAUCGUUCAUUCUCAGUAGUUGGGGAGUAGGAAUACAGAUAACAACAUCUCACCCUGAAACACAAGCAGGUGGAGGAGUGCUGUCCUCCUGCAGCUGCCAGAAUAGCACCAGGAUCACAGAGCAGGGCAGCACCAGGCAGUGCUGGGCUCCAGGGCCCACCAGCUUUCAGCUGAAGGAUGCUGCGGGAUCAGAAGCACUCACGGGCAUCCAGAGGAGCUGGCACAAAGCUUUCCACGUCCUCUGGAUGGAGCAGAGCAGGAUACCCAUUACCGCUCACGUUUUCCUUCCUUGGGAAGGGAAGGAGCAGCACAAGGAGAUUUUUCAAAGCAGUGAAAAUCAAAGAGGUUUUUCCUCACAUAAGAAAAAAUAAUAUAGGAAUGCUUGUUAUUUGAGACUGUUUAACAUCCAAAAGCUACAUUAUAUUGUAACUCAAUUUUGUAUAUAUUUUGACAGUCAUAUUCAUCAACCCUACAAUCAUUCUGAGGAAGCGUGCUGCUUAAAAUUAUGCGUGAGCAGAAAAAGGCAAGGUGGAUAUAUAGCUCACAGAAGGAUUUCACUGCCUACCCCCCAGCUGCUGCGGAGCAUUGACAUCUUUUCUCAGUGGUCUUCUCUCAGAGGGAUCCUUAAGGCACCAGAAUCUCUGCUCUCUGUUACCCCAGCUGAAACAGAGCUGAUGUACGAUCACACCAGUUCAGCUUCUGUAAGUGAGACCGACAUUUGGCUGCUGUUCUGGGGUGUGUUUGUCCAUUUGCUUGAUAAAGCACUGUGCACAUGCUGCUUCCUUCCACUGCACAUCCAAGUAGAGGCCCGGCUUUCAACAGAAGUAAUCAUACAGUACCAACUGCCAGGAAGGCCAUCUUCAAAGUCAGCAUAUAAUUCUCUGGAAACACACACUGCUAUAUAAGCAACAUAUAAAAAUAUAGUGGGACAUUUUUAGAUUCUUUGAAGAUUUAAUGUUAUGCAAGUAGGAAAACUGAGAAUAUUAUAGAGUUACAUGAGAUGCUGAAAAUGAUAUUUACCAGCAAGGUAAUGCAAUAUACCUCUAUUGUGACAUUCAAUAAUUAAAGAGAGGCCCCCAGCAGUGAAUUGGUGGGUGAUUAACUCAUGGCAGCACCAUCCUCAGCCACCAGAGAAGUGGCAGCGCCUGCAGAGGGGCACUGGCAGCUGUGUGCCACAUCCCCAGCCCGGCACCGAAGCACAGCUAGGGAGUGCUUUUGGCAGAACUGAUUUCUCCUUUCUCCGAAUGGAAAUUAACAGAAAAAUGGAGACUGGGCGGCCAUUUCCAGAGACAGGUUUUUUUUUUCCUGGUAGUAGCCUUAGGCUGACUUUCUGGAUUUAAGACAUCAUUCUGCCCCUAAUUCUGCAUAGGUACGAUGGUCUGUUCAGAUAGGAUCUGUAAUUCAGCUCCAGCAGAAAAAAAUAGAGGAAUUUGAAGUUUGGUCUUUAAUGAACAGAAGCCAACAGCUGACAAAUUAAGUACUUUGGAGAAGUGAAAAUUAAACAGUCCUGCAGACACUAGUGUUGGCAUAUGGAAAGCUGCCACUGAGCUAAUAAUAGAUGUGUCUACUGCAGCAGAGAGGGAGGUCCCCAUCGUCCCGGAGCACACCAUACAUCUGGGCACUGGGAAAACAGCCACGAGGCGGUGUCUGUUUGUUGCUUGUUACCUUCCUGCCAGCUAUUCAUCUGCUGCAACUGCUGGCUGAGGGCAGCCAUCCACAGGCAGUGACACUGCACUGCAACGGCACCGGGAUCAGUUCUGCCCACCAGCUCCCAAUUUAGCAGAUGAGUUUCCUGAAG